GUGGGGAAUAUUGGACAAUGGGCGAAAGCCUGAUCCAGCAAUGCCGCGUGAGUGAUGAAGGCCCUAGGGUUGUAAAGCUCUUUUACCCGGGAUGAUAAUGACAGUACCGGGAGAAUAAGCUCCGGCUAACUUCGUGCCAGCAGCCGCGGUAAUACGAGGGGAGCUAGCGUUGUUCGGAAUUACUGGGCGUAAAGCGCGCGUAGGCGGUUUUUUAAGUCAGAGGUGAAAGCCCGGGGCUCAACCCCGGAAUUGCCUUUGAAACUGGAAAACUAGAAUCUUGGAGAGGUCAGUGGAAUUCCGAGUGUAGAGGUGAAAUUCGUAGAUAUUCGGAAGAACACCAGUGGCGAAGGCGACUCACUGGCCCAAUACUGACGCUGAGGCGCGAAAGCGUGGGGAGCAAACAGGAUUAGAUACCCUGGUAGUCC
rnacentral:rRNA from 1 species